AUUGAACGCUGGCGGUAGGCUUAACACAUGCAAGUCGAGCGGAAACGAAGGUAGCUUGCUACUUGGCGUCGAGCGGCGGACGGGUGAGUAACGCGUAGGAAUCUGCCCGGUAGUUGGGGAUAGCCCGGAGAAAUCCGGAUUAAUACCGAAUAAUCUCUACGGAGGAAAGGGGGCUUCGGCUCUCGCUACUGGAUGAGCCUGCGUUGGAUUAGCUAGUUGGUGUGGUAAGAGCGCACCAAGGCGACGAUCCAUAGCUGGUCUGAGAGGAUGAUCAGCCACACUGGGACUGAGACACGGCCCAGACUCCUACGGGAGGCAGCAGUGGGGAAUAUUGGACAAUGGGCGCAAGCCUGAUCCAGCCAUACCGCGUGUGUGAAGAAGGCCUUCGGGUUGUAAAGCACUUUCAAUGAGGAGGAAAGGUUGUUGGUUAAUACCCAGCAGCUGUGACGUUACUCAUAGAAGAAGCACCGGCUAACUCCG
rnacentral:rRNA from 1 species